rnacentral:rRNA from 1 species
UACGUAGGUGGCAAGCGUUGUCCGGAUUUAUUGGGUUUAAAGGGCGCGUAGGCGGCCUGCUAAGUCGAACGUGAAAUCCCCGAGCUCAACUCGGGAACUGCGUCCGAUACUGGCAGGCUUGAAUCCGGGAGAGGGAUGCGGAAUUCCAGGUGUAGCGGUGAAAUGCGUAGAUAUCUGGAGGAACACCGGUGGCGAAGGCGGCAUCCUGGACCGGCAUUGGCGCUGAGGCGCGAAAGCCAGGGGAGCAAACGGG